ACUCCUACGGGAGGCAGCAGUGAGGAAUAUUGGUCAAUGGAGGGAACUCUGAACCAGCCAUCCCGCGUGUAGGAAGACGGCCUUAUGGGUUGUAAACUACUUUUAUACAGGAAGAAACGUACCCUCGUGAGGGUGCCUGACGGUACUGUAGGAAUAAGCACCGGCUAACUCCGUGCCAGCAGCCGCGGUAAUACGGAGGGGUGCGAGCGUUAUCCGGAUUUAUUGGGGUUUAAAGGGGUCCGUAGGCGGAUUAAUAAGUCAGUGGUGAAAUCCCAUCGCUUAACGAUGGAACUGCCAUUGAUACUGUUAGUCUUGAAUGAGGGUGCAGUGGUUGGAAUGUGUAGUGUAGCGGUGAAAUGCAUAGAUAUUACACAGAACACCGAUUGCGAAGGCAGAUCACUAACCCUAAAUUGACGCUGAGGGACGAAAGCGUGGGGAGCGAACAGGAUUAGAUACCCUGGUAGGAUAGCG
rnacentral:rRNA from 1 species